rnacentral:rRNA from 1 species
AGCAGCCGCGGUAAUUCCAGCUCCAAUAGCGUAUAUUAAAGUUGUUGCAGUUAAAAAAGCUCGUAGUUGAAUUUCGAGAUCAAAUUGUUGGUCGUGCCUCGGUACGUACUGGCAUUAUUGAUUUCUCCCUUCUGAAGAACCACGAUGUCAUUAAUUUGGUGUCGUGGGGAAUCAGGACUGUUACUUUGAAAAAAAUUAGAGUGUUUAAAGCAGGCUCACGCUUGAAUACAUUAGCAUGGAAUAAUGAAAUAGGACGUUUGAUUCUAUUUUGUUGGUUUCUAGGAUCGACGUAAUGAUUAAUAGGGAUAGUUGGGGGCAUUAGUAUUCAAUUGUCAGAGGUG